GUAGGGAAGUGGUGACUAGUGACAGAGGGAGGGGUGACUAGGGACAGAGUGAGGGAGGUGGUGACUAGUGACAGUCACCACCUCCCUCACUGUCACUAGUCACCCUCUCCCUCACUCUGUCACCAGUCAUCCCCUCACUCUAUCACUAGUCACCCUUCCUUCCCUCAC